rnacentral:lncRNA from 1 species
CUCUCGCUGACGUGUUUAUCGUCCGGUGCCCGGCAGUUGCUGCAGUUCUAACAGAGUGUUUCUCCUUCAGAAUACAGUCGAGUGUAAGACUCAGUGCUACCAACUGAAGGAGAUCCAAGUGCCGCUCGUUAACACUUUCAACAAGGAAGCUAAGUUCAGGUCAGGGAAUGAGAAUGGAAAUUCUAAAUAUUUCAAGUUGAUAACAUUGGUUCGACAUAUAUUCCUGUUGUGUGUGUGUGUGUGUGUGUGUGUGUUUAGAGUGGUAUUGGUGGAGUCCACUUACAACCCACUGAAGCCUGACACCAAAAAAGAUCGCCUUGUUCAGCUGGCCUCCUCCACAGCAAGUAUGAAGACUUCAGACAUGAUCAGUCAGGAGGAGAUCGAAAAUGUUGAAGACGGCGAGUUUGUGAGUGCAGUGAGGAGUGUGUCUCUGAAGUCAGGCCAAGCAGACACGCUGAGCAUCCACUACCUGCCUUUCUACCCACGGACCAAGCACUGCUCUGUGCUGCUGAUCAGCCCACAGGUGGGAGACAUGGUGUACAUGGUUAAGGCCACGUCAGAGCUGCCGCUUCCUUCGCCUCUCACUGCCAGACCCAGUUCGAACAUUGUCUCCAUCGCCAAUAAUUCUGACACAUCUGUGUGUGCCCCAGUCCUACGCCUGCAGUGCGCAGUGGGGCAGGUGUGUGAGGAGGUCCUGCACAUCCCCCGGAUCAAUAACCUGUGGGAGCGGGCUCUGGCCACCUGGGGUCAGCAGCACAUGAGCGCCAGUGAACGCAGGAGGCGAAUUCUGACACACACUUUGCAUAGCAGCACCGUAAGGGCAGCCACU